rnacentral:rRNA from 1 species
CUGGCGGCGUGCUUAACACAUGCAAGUCUACGAGAACGAGGUAGCAAUAUCUUUAGUAAAGUGGCGUACGGGUGCGUAACACGUAAGCAAUCUACCUUUGGGUCUGGAAUAACUUCGAGAAAUCGAGGCUAAUACCGGAUAAUGCAGCGGCACCGCAUGGUGAUGUUGUUAAAGUUUAUGUAAUGCCUAUAGAUGAGCUUGCGUCUGAUUAGCUAGUUGGUGAGGUAACGGCCCACCAAGGCUACGAUCAGUAGCUGGUCUGAGAGGAUGAUCAGCCACACUGGAACUGAGACACGGUCCAGACUCCUACGGGAGGCAGCAGUGAGGAAUAUUGGGCAAUGCCCGCAAGGGUGACCCAGCAACGCCGCGUGGAGGAUGAAGGUCGUAAGAUCGUAAACUCCUGUUAGAGGGGAAGAACACCACCGAUUGGAUCGGUGUUUGACUGUACCCUCAGGGAAAGCCCCGGCUAACUACGUG